CGGGACGGGUGGGUAAUGUCUGGGAACGUAGCUCGAUGGAGGGGGAUAACUACUGGAAACGGUAGCUAAUACCGCAUAACGUCGCAAGACCAAAGAGGGGGACCUUAGGGCCUCUUGCCAUCGGAUGUGCCCAGAUGGGAUUAGCUAGUAGGUGGGGUAAAGGCUCACCUAGGCGACGAUCCCUAGCUGGUCUGAGAGGAUGACCAGCCACACUGGAACUGAGACACGGUCCAG
rnacentral:rRNA from 1 species